AAUGAACGUUGGCGGCGUGGAUUAGGCAUGCAAGUCGAGCGAGAACCGACCUUGGUUGGGACGAGCGGCGAACGGCGUAGUAAUGCGUAGGAACGUACCCUCGGUCGGGAGUAGCUACGGGAAACUGUAGGUAAUACCCGAUGAUCUCUGCGGAGCAAAGGUGAGAUUCCGCCGGGGGAGCGGCUUACGUGAUAUUAGCUUGUUGGUGGGGUAAUGGCCUACCAAGGCAACGAUGUCUAGGGGUGUGAGAGCAUGGCCCCCACGACCGGAACUGAGAUACUGUCCGGACACCUACGGGUGGCUGCAGUCGAGAAUCUUCCGCAAUGGGCGAAAGCCUGACGGAGCGACGCCGCGUGGUGGAUGAAGGCCCUUGGGUUGUAAACACCUGUCAGAGGGGAUGAAGUCGUUGGAGGUACUCCUCCUUCGUUGACAGAGCCUCAAAGGAAGCACGGGCUAAGUACGUG
rnacentral:rRNA from 1 species